rnacentral:misc_RNA from 1 species
CAACCCUCAAGCCUGGCUUGGUGAUGGGGCACUGCUCUCUAGCGGGAGCAGGCCCUGAAAUCUAGUGGCGAGCUCGCCAGGACCCCGAGCGUAGUAGUCAUAUCUCGUUCUGGAAGGCCCUGGCGGUGCCCUGCCGUUAAACCCCCAACUUCUGAAA